ACUUCGGUCCUAGCGGCGAACGGGUGAGGAAUGCUUGGGAAUCUGCCUAGUAGUGGGGGAUAACGUUUCGAAAGGAACGCUAUUACCGCAUACGCCCUACGGGGGAAAGGGGGGGAUCUUCGGACCUCUCGCUAUUAGACGAGCCCAAGUCGGAUUAGCUAGUUGGUGGGGUAAAGGCUCACCAAGGCGACGAUCCGUAGCUGGUCUGAGAGGAUGAUCAGCCACACUGGAACUGAGACACGGUCCAGACUCCUACGGGAGGCAGCAGUGGGGAAUAUUGGACAAUGGGCGAAAGCCUGAUCCAGCCAUGCCGCGUGUGUGAAGAAGGCCUUCGGGUUGUAAAGCACUUUAAGCGAGGAGGAAUGGCUCUGGGUUAAUACCCUUGAGCAGUGACGUUACUCGCAGAAUAAGCACCGGCUAACUCUGUGCCAGCAGCCGCGGUAAUACAGAGGGUGCAAGCGUUAAUCGGAAUUACUGGGCGUAAAGCGCGCGUAGGCGGUUGUAUAAGUUGGGUGUGAAAUCCCCGGGCUCAACCUGGGAAUUGCACUCAAAACUGUACGGCUAGAGUGUGGGAGAGGAAGGUAGAAUUCCAGGUGUAGCGGUGAAAUGCGUAGAUAUCUGGAGGAAUACCGAUGGCGAAGGCAGCCUUCUGGCCUAACACUGACGCUGAGGUGCGAAAGCAUGGGGAGCAAACAGGAUUAGAUACCCUGGUAGUCCAUGCCGUAAACGAUGUCUACUAGCCGUUGGGGGACUUGAUCCUUUAGUGGCGCAGCUAACGCAUUAAGUAGACCGCCUGGGGAGUACGGUCGCAAGACUAAAACUCAAAUGAAUUGACGGGGGCCCGCACAAGCGGUGGAGCAUGUGGUUUAAUUCGAUGCAACGCGAAGAACCUUACCUGUCUUGACAUGUC
rnacentral:rRNA from 1 species